rnacentral:rRNA from 1 species
AUUGAACGCUGGCGGAAUGCUUUACACAUGCAAGUCGAACGGCAGCACGGACUUCGGUCUGGUGGCGAGUGGCGAACGGGUGAGUAAUGUAUCGGAACGUGCCCAGUCGUGGGGGAUAACGUAGUGAAAAUUACGCUAAUACCGCAUACGAUCUAUGGAUGAAAGCGGGGGAUCGCAAGACCUCGCGCGAUUGGAGCGGCCGAUAUCAGAUUAGGUAGUUGGUGGGGUAAAGGCCCACCAAGCCAACGAUCUGUAGCUGGUCUGAGAGGACGAGCAGCCACACUGGAACUGAGACACGGGCCAGACUCCUACGGGAGGCAGCAGUGGGGAAUGUUGGACAAUGGGCGAAAGCCUGAUCCAGCCAUUCCGCGUGCAGGAUGAAGGCCCUCGGGUUGUAAACUGCUUUUGUACAGAACGAAAAGGUUUCUACUAAUACUAGGAGCUCAUGACGGUACUGUAAGAAUAAGCACCGGCUAACUACGUGCCAGCAGCCGCCGUAA